rnacentral:rRNA from 1 species
GAUGAACGCUGGCGGCGUGCUUAACACAUGCAAGUCGAACGGAAAGGCCCAAGCUUGCUUGGGUACUCGAGUGGCGAACGGGUGAGUAACACGUGUGGGAUCUGCCCUGCACUUCGGGAUAAGCCUUGGAAACUGGGUCUAAUACCGGAUAUGACCACUUCUUGGAUGUUGUGGUGGACAGUUUUUUCGUUUUGGGAUGAGCUCGCGGGCUAUCAGCUUGUUGGUGGGUUAAUGGCCUACCAAGGCGUCGACGGGUAGCCGGCCUGUGAGGGUGUAACGCGACACUGGGACUGAGAGAAGGCACAGAUACCGAAGGGAGGCAGCAGGGGGGAAGAUUGCAGAAUGGGCGCAAGCCUGAUGCAGCGAGGCUGCGUGGCGGAGGACGGUCUUAGGGUUGAAAACUACUUUUGCUAGGGACGAAGCGCUUUGUGACGGUACCUGGAGAAGAAGCACCGGCUAACUACGUG